UAAUACAUGCAAGUCGAACGCGCAGCGAAAGGUGCUUGCACCUUUCAAGCGAGUGGCGAACGGGUGAGUAACACGUGGAUAACCUGCCUCAAGGCUGGGGAUAACAUUUGGAAACAGAUGCUAAUACCGAAUAAAACUUAGUAUCGCAUGAUACAAAGUUGAAAGGCGCUACGGCGUCACCUAGAGAUGGGUCCGCGGUGCAUUAGUUAGUUGGUGGGGUAAAGGCCUACCAAGACAAUGAUGCAUAGCCGAGUUGAGAGACUGAUCGGCCACAUUGGGACUGAGACACGGCCCAAACUCCUACGGGAGGCUGCAGUAGGGAAUCUUCCACAAUGGGCGAAAGCCUGAUGGAGCAACGCCGCGUGUGUGAUGAAGGCUUUAGGGUCGUAAAGCACUGUUGUAUGGGAAGAAAUGCUAGAAUAGGGAAUGAUUCUAGUUCGACGGUACCAUACCAGAAAGGGACGGCUAAAUACGUGCCAGCAGCCGCGGUAAUACGUAUGUCCCGAGCGUUAUCCGGAUUUAUUGGGCGUAAAGCGAGCGCAGACGGUUGAUUAAGUCUGAUGUGAAAGCCCGGAGCUCAACUCCGGAAUGGCAUUGGAAACUGGUUAACUUGAGUGUUGUAGAGGUAAGUGGAACUCCAUGUGUAGCGGUGGAAUGCGUAGAUAUAUGGAAGAACACCAGUGGCGAAGGCGGCUUACUGGACAACAACUGACGUGAGGCUCGAAA
rnacentral:rRNA from 1 species